AAUAUUGGACAAUGGGGGCAACCCUGAUCCAGCCAUGCCGCGUGUGUGAAGAAGGUCUUCGGAUUGUAAAGCACUUUAAGUUGGGAGGAAGGGCUUUAGGUUAACACCCUUAAGUGUUGACGUUACCAACGUAAUAAGCCCCGGCUAACUCUGUGCCAGCAGCCGCGUUAAUACAGAGGGUGCAAGCGUUAAUCGGAAUUACUGGGCGUAAUGCGCGCGUAGGUGGUUCAGUAAGAUGGGUGUGAAAUCCCCGGGCUUAACCUGGGAACUGCUUUCAUAACUGCUGAGCUAGAGUACGGUAGAGGGUAGUGGAAUUUCCUGUGUAGCGGUGAAAUGCGUAGAUAUAGGAAGGAACACCAGUGGCGAAGGCGACUACCUGGACUGAUACUGACACUGAGGUGCGAAAGCGUGGGGAGCAAAC
rnacentral:rRNA from 1 species